rnacentral:rRNA from 1 species
GACGAACGCUGGCGGCGUGCCUAAUACAUGCAAGUCGAACGAGAGCGCCCGGUGCUUGCACUGGUCAAUCUAGUGGCGAACGGGUGAGUAACACGUGGGUAACCUGCCCAUCAGAGGGGGAUAACAUCCGGAAACGGAUGCUAAAACCGCAUAGGUCUUCGAACCGCAUGGUUUGAAGAGGAAAAGAGGCGCAAGCUUCUGCUGAUGGAUGGACCCGCGGUGCAUUAGCUAGUUGGUGAGGUAACGGCUCACCAAGGCCGUGAUGCAUAGCCGACCUGAGAGGGUGACCGGCCACAUUGGAACUGAGACACGGCCCAAACUCCUACGGGAGGCAGCAGUAGGGAAUCUUCCGCAAUGGACGCAAGUCUGACGGAGCAACGCCGCGUGAGUGAAGAAGGUUUUCGGAUCGUAAAACUCUGUUGUUAGAGAAGAACAAGUGCUAGAGUAACUGUUAGCGCCUUGACGGUAUCUAACCAGAAAGCCACGGCUAACUACGUG